rnacentral:rRNA from 1 species
GUGGGGAAUAUUGGACAAUGGGCGAAAGCCUGAUCCAGCCAUGCCGCGUGUGUGAAGAAGGUCUUCGGAUUGUAAAGCACUUUAAGUUGGGAGGAAGGGCAGUAAGUUAAUACCUUGCUGUUUUGACGUUACCAACAGAAUAAGCACCGGCUAACUUCGUGCCAGCAGCCGCGGUAAUACGAAGGGUGCAAGCGUUAAUCGGAAUUACUGGGCGUAAAGCGCGCGUAGGUGGUUUUGUAAGUUGGAGGUGAAAUCCCCGGGCUCAACCUGGGAACUGCCUCAAAAACUGCAUGACUAGAGUACGGUAGAGGGUAGUGGAAUUUCCUGUGUAGCGGUGAAAUGCGUAGAUAUAGGAAGGAACACCAGUGGCGAAGGCGACUACCUGGACUGAUACUGACACUGAGGUGCGAAAGCGUGGGGAGCAAACAGGAUUAGAAACCCGGGUAGUCC